UCCACCCUCCCGCUCGCUUCCUAGCCUCGUCGCCAUGGCGUCCUGGCUGACGUCGUGGAUGCCAAGCCCAUGCCUGCGUUGAAAGAGAGGGAGACCAGAGACACCCAGUGGCCCUGGCGGUAGUAGUGCCAAGGUUCUAUUCACUGUGAGUCCGCGACGCGCCAUGGAUCGCGUGCAGCCGACGAUUCCUCCGCUGCCAUCUGCCCACAAACAGACGACUCUGACGGCGAAUUGGAGCGCUUCGAGAGCGGCGACGCGUUCAAUGUUCCGGUUAGAUGGGAUCUUUGGCGAUCGAAGCUUGCUAGCAACUUUCACGGAUGUAGCUUCCAUACGAAGACAUGGCACCUCUUCAGGCAGCAGUUGCCGUUGUUCAAAGAGAUGCUGGCAGAAAGAUCCUGCUCUAAGACCAACCUUUGCAGAGAUUAUGGAUACACCAAACUCUAUAAAGGAGGUGGUUCGGAGUUCUGUGCAUCACAAGAGGCAUUUAGGUCGAUCUCACUCUUCUUCGAGUUUAUGCGCGCUGCCCAGGACAACAUCACAGCGCUGAUGGAGUUGGACGGUGUCAUCAGGCUCGACUGGAUCUAGAUGGGAUGGACCCUGCUUGCGCUGAAGGAGAGAGAGAGGGCGUACUUGGCUUGCAGGGGAUCGUAGUAAGGUUCAUCUUUUUCAUGGGUCAUGUCAGAUUACACAACUUCAGUUAUUUCAGUCUUUGCGAGAGAAGUACCAAAAUAAUUUUACUUCAUGGCUACUCUCAGAUGUGUUCAUGUCGCUACCACUAAUCAUAUAAGGGUAACAAUGUAUUUGUUAGCAAACAAUUUUUGAGAUAUUAAAGUCGGUGGUAAUAUAAGUGUUGUUUGUUUUUAUAUAA